rnacentral:snRNA from 1 species
AAACUACCCUCACAAUAUUGUAG